rnacentral:rRNA from 1 species
AUUGAACGCUGGCGGCAGGCUUAACACAUGCAAGUCGAGCGGGGUGAUGGUGCUUGCACUAUCACUUAGCGGCGGACGGGUGAGUAAUGCUUAGGAAUCUGCCUAUUAGUGGGGGACAACAUCUCGAAAGGGAGGCUAAUACCGCAUACGUCGUACGGGACAAAGCAGGGGAUCACUUGUGACCUUGCGCUAAUAGAUGAGCCUAAGUCGGAUUAGCUAGUUGGUGGGGUAAAGGCCUACCAAGGCGACGAUCUGUAGCGGGUCUGAGAGGAUGAUCCGCCACACUGGGACUGAGACACGGCCCAGACUCCUACGGGAGGCAGCAGUGGGGAAUAUUGGACAAUGGGGGGAACCCUGAUCCAGCCAUGCCGCGUGUGUGAAGAAGGCCUUAUGGUUGUAAAGCACUUUAAGCGAGGAGGAGGCUCUUUUGGUUAAUACCCAAGAUGAGUGGACGUUACUCGCAGAAUAAGCACCGGCUAACUCUGUGCCAGCCGCCGCCGUAA